GCCGGAGCGUAAAGCGCACUUCAUAAGUGGAGGAGUGUUGUACGUAAAUACUGUUUAAUAACUUGCAAAAUCCAAUCGAUUUGUUUAACAAGACGUCCAUAUGUCACCAACAGUCACGGUGAUUACUUUUGUAUUGGAUAUAUCUGCUUUUUGAGCUCCAAAGUGGCGGAUCUGAUGACUUGCAUUAUUUGAAACACGGAGGGGGUUUCUGCAAAAAAUGUGAGUAAAUGAACAGCACAUUUUAUUUUUGGGUGAACUAUCAAUUUUAUUACACACUUAACAUUGCAUUAACCGUCCACUUUUAAGGUUUUAUACUUUUGCAGAGCAAUAUAUCUCACUUGACUUACUGGGCUACACGCGUAAUGUAAUAUGAUCUGUAUUGCAAAGUUAUAGAGCAGUCAUGCUGCGCAGUUUGUAGUCAAUCUUUCAGGUGUAAAAUUUGUAAUUAAUUGUAUCCUAAUACAAAAGACUUUAUUCAAAAGCGUGAAACUGUACAAUGUGUUUUUAAAGGAUGUAAUUAUAAUACACACAUAAGUAAGCUUGACAUUUUGAGUUUGGGGACCAGACUGGUCUAUCAUUUUUUACCGCAAACUACAUCAUUAAAAUUAAUGAAACAUAUUUUCGUUGACUUUAUUAAAAUACCAUAGCCUGGAUGUUAGAAAAAUAAAACUUGAUAAUGGAUUAGAUUUUUUUUAACUGUAACCUAUAGUUUAAAGUAAAGAAUGAGGACUUUUUUUAAUUAAUAAUAUUAUAUUACUUUAAUCAGUGAAAUUACUCCCUAGUAGUCAACAGUGUAUGUUUCAUUAUUUUAUUAAACAUGAAGAAUAUUGGGAAGAGUUUUAUGACACUUGUCAGAAUCCAAUUACAUUGUAUUGAUAAUUGCAGAGUAAAUUUUCACUACUUUUAUUUUCGGGUGUAUACUUAUGUGUAAAGUUAUACACCCAUGUAUACACCGCUCGAGUCUGUCCCAAAAUACGGCUCAACUUUUUGAUGAUAUUCUAAUUAUAUGACCAGCACCUAUAGUGUUUGAUAAGAAAACAUGGUUUGAUGUGAAGGUACAUUUAUUCAUAGGUACUGCAUGAUUUAGUUAUCAUUUACGGUUUGUUAAGCCUUGGUCUUUGGAAAUGUUUUAAGAAAACAAUACAUGAUAUGUACAAAUUUAACAUUUUCUCUUUCCUUUGUGUUUGGGGAAUGACUGCCGAGCACCUGACGUGAUGAAGUCAUACUCAAGCCCAAUUCUGCCACGAUAUCAGACAGAGUCUCCUGGAAUACUAAACCCAGUCAGGCAGUAUGAAAAGACUGUCGGGCACACGGGAUAUCAGCUGAAAUAAUGACUGACGUGAUGAUAUCUAUUGACCCACUUCAGAACCAAGAAACUCUGUCUCACAACCUAUGCCCAGGACGCUACCCGGUAUCAUGAGAAAUCGAGUCCCCACCAGAAAGGGAUUUUUUGGGGAUGGCUGCACCUUACAACUCUUCACUGACCCCUGCCUGCAUAUAUGCAUCAUCUAGUCAACAGAAAGUUUUAAGCACAAUGGGGUGGUUUCCCAGAGAGGGAUUAGUUUAUGCCAAGACUUGGGCUCAGUUUAAUUUGGAAAUAUAACUAGUUUUAACAAGCAUGCUUUACUGAAAACAUAACUUAAGUCAAAACAAAAGAGCACUGAUGUAUUUUAAGAUUUGUCAGAGCAAGUUGUUUUCAGUUUGGACAGCUCUUACAUUUAUUUUAGUCUAGGAGUAGUCUGAUCCCUGUCCGGGAAACCGCCCCAAUACGUUUAAAAAAAAAUACAGCUGAAUACUUAGCAAUACAUUUAACUGCCAUAUGUUUCAGAUUGUUUAGCCAGAGGACACAGUUUUUGUCUUCACUUGUCAUGGUUGCAUGUGGCUAGCUUACUGAUUAUGUGAAGACUCAAGCAUUUUAACAUAACACACAUAAAUUUGAACUAACUGUUGAAACAUUAGAGACAAUUCAGACAUUACAGUGUGUUUUCCUGUAAAAACACUUUAAAAUAUUAUGCAUUCUAAAAAAGCUCAAAUGUCUUACAAUGAAAGUGUUUAUAAAGCUUUGGAUUUUGUGUGAAUAAUGUAAUGUUAGUUAUGUUACUUUAUAUUCUCUGUAAAAGUAAGCAAUAUUACUGUAUGUAAUAAUUUGUGUAAUUACACACCGUGUAAGUGUAUUGCAUGAUGUUGAUUACAGUGUGUAUAAACAAUAUGCUUGAAACA